UCACUUUCAACAACGGAUCUCUUGGCUCUCGCAUCGAUGAAGAACGUAGCGAAGUGCGAUAAGUAGUGUGAAUUGCAGAAUUCCGUGAAUCAUCGAAUCUUUGAACGCAAAUUGCACUCCCUGGCAUCCCGGGGAGUAUGCCUGUUUGAGGGUAAGUA
rnacentral:rRNA from 1 species